rnacentral:rRNA from 1 species
UGAUGACGAGACGCUAAGGCGUUGAAGCAGUGUAUGUCAGACUUCCAAGAAAAGCUCGCAAUGUCACAAAUAAAAGAUGCCUGUACCAUAACCGACACAGGUGGGUAGGUAGAGUAUACUAAGGGGCGCGAGAUAACUCUCUCUAAGGAACUCGGCAAAAUGACUCCGUAACUUCGGGAGAAGGAGUGCCUUAUUUAUAAGGUUGCAAUAACAAGAUCCAAGCAACUGUUUAUCAAAAACACAGGUCUCCGCUAAGUCGUAAGACGAUGUAUGGGGGCUGACGCCUGCCCAGUGCCAGAAGGUUAAAGAAGUUGGUUAGUGUAUGCGAAGCUGAUGACUGAAGCCCUGGUGAACGGCGGCCGUAACAAUAACGGUCCUAAGGUAGCGAAAUUCCUUGUCGGGUAAGUUCCGACCCGCACGAAAGGCGUAAUGAUUUGGAUACUGUCUCGGAGAGAGGCUCGGUGAAAUAGACUUGUCUGUGAAGAUGCGGACUACCUGCACCAGGACAGAAAGACCCUAUGAAGCUUUACUGUAACUUGAAAUUGGAAUUGGACUUUGCUUGCGCAGUAUAGGUGGGAAGCGUUGAAAAUAUUCUUGCGGGAGUAUUGGAGCUAUCAGUGAGAUACCACUCUUGUAAUGUUAGAUUUCUAACUUUGAACCAUAAUCUGGUCAAAGUACAGUUUCAGGUGGGCAGUUUGACUGGGGCGGUCGCCUCCCAAAUGGUAACGGAGGCGUACAAAGGUUUCCUCUGAACGGAUAGAAAUCGUAUCUAGAGUGUAAAGGCAUAAGGAAGCUUGACUGUGAGACCUACAAGUCGAGCAGGGACGAAAGUCGGUCUUAGUGAUCUGACGGUACUGAGUGGAAAGGCCGUCACUCAACGGAUAAAAGUUACUCUAAGGAUAACAGGCUGAUCUCCCCCAAGAGUUCACAUCGACGGGGAGGUUUGGCACCUCGAUGUCGGCUCAUCGCAUCCUGGGGCGGUAGUACGUCCCAAGGGUUGGGCUGUUCGCCCAUGAAAGCGGUACGCGAGCUGGGUUCAGAACGUCGUGAGACAGUUCGGUCCAUAUCCGGUGUAGGCGCUAGAAUAUUGAGAGGAGCCUUCUUUAGUACGAGAGGACCGAGAAGGACACACCGCUGGUGUACCAGUUAUCGUGCCAACGGUAAACGCUGGGUAGCUAAGUGUGGAGUGGAUAACCGCUGAAAGCAUCUAAGUGGGAAGCCCACCUCGAGAUGAG